UAGUCUUUCACACUUAAAAAGACGCUCGUUUUCGCCACCUACUGGCGUAAUAAUGUAGUUUACAUUAUAAACUCCGGUAAAAUGAAUCAUUCAUAGAAAAGAUCCGAUUCAUUGAGAUGACUCGCUUCACGUCGCCGAUUCGAAUGCACGUCAGUCAACUGUCACCAACCGUCUUCUGAAGAAAUCAUUUUGAUCGUCGGUCGGACAGCAAACUACCUGUUGGCAGGUUGACGUAAGAAAAUGGGCAAAACAUGGGUCCUAGUGGAAUGAAGGGAGGAGCCACCGACCUGACAUUGUUCCUAAAAAGAACAUACUGAAAAAUAACUUUGAACCUGGAGAUGUUGUGGAUGUUGCCGAUGAGAAUGAAAGUUUACCAGCCACAGUUUUAGACUGUUUCUAAGAGAACAAAGAAACUCUCAGGAGGAGGAUAUUCAGGAGAGGGGAAUUUACAGACACAGCACAGAAGAAAUUUCCAGAUGUACCAAUAAAAGUUAUCAGGGCAGCACUCGGAAAAAUUAAAUUAUGAGCACAAGUUACGAGUAAGGGAAAUGAAGUAAAUGCAGCCUGCUGUGAAUUGGAUUCUGCUUUGGUCUACUUUUUUUUU